rnacentral:rRNA from 1 species
AGAGUUUGAUCCUGGCUCAGAACGAACGUUGGCGGCGUGGAUUAGGCAUGCAAGUCGAACGAAUCCCGGGGGGCAACUCCCGGGGGAAGUGGCGAAAGGGGCAGUAAGGCGUGGGUAACCUACCCCGGGGACUGGGAUAGCCUCCCUAACGGGAGGGUAAUACCGGGCGAUGUAGCGAGGGGGCAUCUUCUUGCUACGAGAUGAAUUUCGCCUCGGGAGGGGCUCACGUAGUAUUAGCUAGUUGGUAGGGUAACGGCCUACCAAGGCUGAGAUGCUUAGCGGGUGUGAGAGCACGACCCGCGCCACUGGCACUGAGACACUGGCCAGACUCCUACGGGAGGCUGCAGUCGAGGAUCUUCGGCAAUGGGCGCAAGCCUGACCGAGCGACGCCGCGUGGACGAUGAAGGCCUUCGGGUUGUAAAGUCCUUUAGUGGGGGAGGAAGGCGCAAGCUUGACCUAUCCCAAGAAUAAGCACGGGCUAAGUUCGUGCCAGCAGCCGCGGUAAUAC